rnacentral:rRNA from 1 species
GUACACUCCUGCGGAAGGCAGCAGUGGGGAAUUUUGGACAAUGGGCGAAAGCCUGAUCCAGCAAUGCCGCGUGAGUGAAGAAGGCCUUCGGGUUGUAAAGCUCUUUUGUCAGGGAAGAAACGGUGAAAGCUAAUAUCUUUUGCUAAUGACGGUACCUGAAGAAUAAGCACCGGCUAACUACGUGCCAGCAGCCGCGGUAAUACGUAGGGUGCAAGCGUUAAUCGGAAUUACUGGGCGUAAAGCGUGCGCAGGCGGUUUUGUAAGUCUGAUGUGAAAUCCCCGGGCUCAACCUGGGAAUUGCAUUGGAGACUGCAAGGCUAGAAUCUGGCAGAGGGGGGUAGAAUUCCACGUGUAGCAGUGAAAUGCGUAGAUAUGUGGAGGAACACCGAUGGCGAAGGCAGCCCCCUGGGUCAAGAUUGACGCUCAUGCACGAAAGCGUGGGGAGCAAACAGGAUUAGAAACCCUGGUAGUCCCAUG